rnacentral:rRNA from 1 species
AACGAACGCUGGCGGCACGCCUAACACAUGCAAGUCGAACGAAGCAUAAGAGCUUGCUCUUAUGACUGAGUGGCGCACGGGUGAGUAACACGUGGGAAUCUGCCUAUUGGUGGGGAAUAACUUUUGGAAACGAAAGCUAAUACCGCAUAAGCCCUAAGGGGGAAAGAUUUAUCGCCAAUAGAUGAGCCCGCGCUAGAUUAGCUAGUUGGUGAGGUAAGAGCUCACCAAGGCUACGAUCUAUAGCUGGUCUGAGAGGAUGGUCAGCCACACUGGGACUGAGACACGGCCCAGACUCCUACGGGAGGCAGCAGUGGGGAAUAUUGGACAAUGGGGGAAACCCUGAUCCAGCGAUGCCGCGUGAGUGAAGAAGGCCUUCGGGUUGUAAAGCUCUUUCAGAGGGGAUGAUAAUGACGGUACCCUCAAAAGAAGCACCGGCUAACUUCGUGCCAGCAGCCGCAGUAA